rnacentral:rRNA from 1 species
AUUGAACGCUGGCGGAACGCUUUACACAUGCAAGUCGAGCGGCAGCGCGGGGGCAACCCUGGCGGCGAGCGGCGAACGGGUGAGUAACAUAUCGGAACGUACCCAGUAAUGGGGGAUAACUACCCGAAAGGGUAGCUAAUCCCGCAUACGCCCUGAGGGGGAAAGCGGGGGAUCGAAAGACCUCGCGUUAUUGGAGCGGCCGAUAUCGGAUUAGGUAGUUGGUGAGGUAAAGGCUCACCAAGGCGACGAUCCGUAGCUGGUCUGAGAGGACGACCAGCCACACUGGAACUGAGACACGGUCCAGACUCCUACGGGAGGCAGCAGUGGGGAAUUUUGGACAAUGGGGGCAACCCUGAUCCAGCCAUUCCGCGUGAGUGAAGAAGGCCUUCGGGUUGUAAAGCUCUUUCGGCAGGAACGAAACGGCGGGCUCUAACAUAGCCUGCCACUGACGGUACCUGAAUAAGAAGCACCGGCUAACUACGUGCCAGCAGCCGCAGUAA